rnacentral:rRNA from 1 species
AAUCCCGUGAACCAUCGAGUCUUUGAACGCAAGUUGCGCCCCAAGCCUUCUGGCCGAGGGCAGGUCUGCCUGGGUGUCACAAAUCGUCGUCCCCAUCCUUUUCGGAUAAGGGACGGAAGUUGGUCUCCCGUGUGUUACCGCACGCGGUUGGCCUAAAUCUGAG